UGUGCUUAUUCUAGAAGUGGCUUCUAAAUA
rnacentral:piRNA from 1 species